rnacentral:tRNA from 1 species
UGGGGAAUCGUCUAGUGGUAGGACAACGGGCCCUGGACCCGUAAGGGAAGGUUCGAAUCCUUCUUCCCCAGCCA